rnacentral:rRNA from 1 species
UGGGGAAUAUUGCACAAUGGGGGAAACCCUGAUGCAGCGACGCCGCGUGAGCGAAGAAGGCCUUCGGGUCGUAAAGCUCUUUUAUAUGGGAAGAUAAUGACGGUACCAUAAGAAAAAGCCCCGGCUAACUACGUGCCAGCAGCCGCGGUAAUACGUAGGGGGCUAGCGUUGUCCGGAAUCACUGGGCGUAAAGGGUUCGCAGGCGGCAAUGCAAGUCAGAUGUAAAAGGCAAAGGCUCAACCUUUGUAAGCAUCUGAAACUGUAUAGCUUGAGAAGUGUAGAGGCAAGUGGAAUUUUUAGUGUAGCGGUGAAAUGCGUAGAUAUUGGGAGGAACACCAGUAGCGAAGGCGGCUUUCUGGACUGCAACUGACACUGAGGCACGAAAGCGUGGGUAGCAAACAGG